AACCCUUUUUUUAUUUAUAAAUAUGCACAGCUUAAUAAAAGAGUGCGGGAAAUAAAAGAGUAUUUCUUUUUCCCAAAAAAAAGCACCACCAUAAGACGGCGCGGGAAAUAAAAGAGCAAAUCGCGGCCGCACCAUUUUCCCAAUCUCAGCUGUUCCUUCCGUCGCCGCCUCAUCACCGGCGGCUUAUCUCCGUUUAUCCACCGUUUCCCGAACAAGAUUGACACCCUCCGCUGCCUCCAGCAUAGGAGGCUGAAAAGUUUGUACUGAUUUGCUGUGUGGUAUAUACUUGAAGUGAAGACCAAGAGAAAUCCCAAGGUGAUAGAAAGUUUGUGUGUGGAAGAAGUUAGGGAAACUUAUUAUGGUUUCCAAUCGCGUGUUAGCGUGUAGCUUACUGGUUUAUUUAGUAGUGGCAGUGUUGUUUGAUGUUACUGGUUGGAGGAGUUUAUUUCUGCAACUCAUUGUAUUGUGCUACGUGUGUUUUGGGCUCAAUCCUAAUAACCGCAUUAAGUUGAAAGUUGGAUUCUCUUUUGGAAUGAGGAAGGACACAGAUGGAGGAGGAGAUAGAGAUGAUGACCAUGGUAGAGCAGCUGGUACACCUGAGCAGGCUGAUUGAUUUCGUGAUCACUGUGCUAUUGAUGUUUUGAUUCUUUUUGGGAUGGGGAUUUAUCUUGGAUUAGGCUUGGGGAUUGUUUUGAUUGUUAUGAUGUAUAGUCUAAGGAGAAGCACUUUUGGGUGCUACUAAACUCUCCUUUAAACACAGAUGUUAAAAUUGUUUUGAUGAAUGCUUACAAACUUUCACUGAGUUUGGAAAUUUCUUGA